AUGAAUGUCAAUCAGUACUGCUACAAGGAGGUGCGCCCCCUGGAUGUUAAACCAACGAUGUUGGCAAUGAGGGCUUUAACAUAUGCACUUGGCAUCCCGCUGCAACUUGAAAUUCUGGGCAGAGCCUUGAUGGCUGGAGAUUUGCAAGUAAAGCGCCUUGAUUUCUUCCCUCGAUCAGAGUCAGGGAAGGGUGCUUUCCAUAUGGUCCAAAGCUACUGGUCCUCAACCUCAACCCCUGAACCACUGGAGCUGGGAAGUGGCAACCUGUUAUUAUCUGAUGGCACACCAUUGCUGACCUUGCUGUGUCGGUCUGAGGACUGCGACAUUCUUUAUCGCAAGUGA
rnacentral:rRNA from 1 species